CCUACGGGAGGCAGCAGUGGGGAAUAUUGCACAAUGGGCGCAAGCCUGAUGCAGCGACGCCGCGUGAGGGAUGACGGCCUUCGGGUUGUAAACCUCUUUCAGUAGGGAAGAAGCGUAAGUGACGGUACCUGCAGAAGAAGCGCCGGCUAACUACGUGCCAGCAGCCGCGGUAAUACGUAGGGCGCAAGCGUUAUCCGGAAUUAUUGGGCGUAAAGAGCUCGUAGGCGGUUUGUCGCGUCUGCCGUGAAAGUCCGGGGCUCAACUCCGGAUCUGCGGUGGGUACGGGCAGACUAGAGUGAUGUAGGGGAGACUGGAAUUCCUGGUGUAGCGGUGAAAUGCGCAGAUAUCAGGAGGAACACCGAUGGCGAAGGCAGGUCUCUGGGCAUUAACUGACGCUGAGGAGCGAAAGCAUGGGGAGCGAACAGGAUUAGAUACCCUGGUAGUCCAUGCCGUAAACGUUGGGCACUAGGUGUGGGGGACAUUCCACGUUUUCCGCGCCGUAGCUAACGCAUUAAGUGCCCCGCCUGGGGAGUACGGCCGCAAGGCUAAAACUCAAAGGAAUUGACGG
rnacentral:rRNA from 1 species